ACAUUCACAACAGUGGCCUUGCAGUUGCUGUUCUUCUUCUUCUUCUACAUCUUCUUCUUCUUCUUCUUCUUCUUCGUCGGAGAAAAUGCAUUCGAAUCACUUGCUUCUGGAGGAGCCUAUCAGAAUGGCCUCAAUUCUCGAGUCUUCUAAGUCUACAUUCUUUCCUGCAAUGUCAAGGAUUGUUGGAACACUUGGUAUAAAUUCACAAUCCGUUGAGACAAUAUCUGCGUGCUUGAAGGCAGGAAUGUCUGUGGCACGAUUUGAUUUUUCAUGGGGAGAUGCUGAGUUUCAUCAAAAGACGUUGGAAAAUCUGAAGAUCGCAAUCAAGAGUACCAAGAAACUCUGUGCAGUUAUGCUAGAUACAGUUGGUCCUGAGUUGCAGGUAGUGAAUAAAUCUGAGCGCCCCGUAUCUCUUCAGGAAGAGACCCUGGUUGUCCUAACACCUGAUCAAGACAAAGAGGCCACUUCAAAUCUAUUACCCAUAAAUUUUAGUGGGCUCUCAAAGGUAGUGAAGAAGGGAGAUACUAUUUUUAUUGGUCAAUACCUCUUUACAGGAAGUGAAACUACUUCCGUGUGGCUGGAGGUCACCGAGGUGAAUGGUGAAGAGGUGGUUUGUCUCAUAAAGAAUUCUGCUACCUUGUCAGGGCCAUUGUAUACUUUGCAUGUCUCUCAGAUUCGUAUUGAUCUGCCUACACUUACAGAUAAAGAUAAGGAGGUCAUAAGCACUUGGGGCAUUCGUAACAACAUUGACUUCCUCUCAUUGUCAUAUACCCGUCAUGCUGAAGAUGUUCGCCACGCCCGCGAAUUUCUUUCAAAGUUAGGUGACCUGAAUCAAACUCAAAUUUUUGCAAAAAUUGAAAAUGUAGAGGGAUUAAAUCAUUUUGAUGAAAUCCUACAAGAAGCUGAUGGUAUUAUCCUCUCUCGUGGAAAUUUGGGGAUAGAUCUCCCACCAGAGAAGGUAUUUUUAUUUCAAAAGGCUGCUGUUUACAAGUGCAAUAUGGCUGGAAAGCCAGCAGUGGUGACUCGGGUUGUGGAUAGUAUGACAGACAACCUAAGACCUACUCGUGCUGAAGCAACUGAUGUUGCCAAUGCCAUACUGGAUGGUAAAUUUUUGUCUUUUGACAUUAAAUAUGUUUUUUUUUUAAAUAUAAAAACUUUUAGUGGAUGUCAGCCUGAAUUUUAAUUAUUUUUAUCAAAAUGCUGUAUGCAGGCUGAGAAAGUUUUCAAUCAAGAUCUGUACUUUAAGAGGGCUGUCAAAUAUGUUGGAGAACCAAUGACCCACUUGGAAUCCAUUGCUUCCUCUGCGGUACGGGCAGCCAUCAAGGUGAAGGCCUCUGUAAUUAUUUGCUUCACUUCAUCUGGACGAGCUGCAAGGUUGAUCGCAAAGUACAGACCAACAAUGCCUGUGCUUUCUGUUGUAAUUCCUCGGGUCAAGACAAAUCAACUCCGAUGGAAAUUUUCUGGUGCUUUUGAGGCAAGGCAAUCACUCAUUGUUAGAGGCCUUUUUCCCAUGCUAGCAGAUCCUCGACAUCCAGCUGAAUCUACUGGUGCAACAAAUGAAUCAAUUUUGAAGGUCGCUUUGGAUUAUGGUAAAUCCUCUGGUGUCAUAAAGUCACAUGACCGUCUUGUGAUUUGCCAGAAAAUCGGCGAUGCUUCUGUGGUGAAGAUCAUUGAGCUUGAAGAUUGAUGUCAACAUUGCAACAUAUUUCUGAGUAUGUUUUACAAGUUUUUCUUGUAAAUUCUCCAUGGCCUGCCACCCCUCUUUUCCAAAAAUAAGCAAAGAUGCAUAACGGAGUUUCCUUGUAGUUAAAUUACUGUAAACUUUUGCUCCUUUGUCUUUCCAAAAAUAACAGUUCUCAAAACACGAAUAUUAUAAUAUGUAAAAUAUUUUAUUAAAUCUGACGUUAGUCACAUUUCAAGGCAGAGGAUCAAAUUAAGCUUUAUCAUUUUACGAACAA